rnacentral:rRNA from 1 species
GAAAGUAGAAUAGGGGAGCGAGAAAGACCUCUGGUGUGCUCCGUAGGAGCAGGACGAGCGGGAAGUCAGGGGUUCAAGAGAUAGAGAGGAGAAGGAAGGACACAAGAGAGGUUUUAAGUGUGGAUUAGGGGUACUUUAACUCGAGCAAAAACAACGGAAGAGACGAGGCGCGUUGUAAAAAGGAGGUAUCUAGGUACUCUCCCGCACGUUUCCCGUCCUGCUGGCACUACGUUCGAGCACGUGGGCGACGCAAUGGUACCACACGCUGCCGCCUCUGGCCACGGCCGACCCCGUCGCUACGUCCUUUGCCGUGUGGAGCAACGACCUUGGCCGGCUGACUUUUCGACGUUGGCCGUAGGCAACUACGACCUUGGUCAUUAGUAAAAACGAUGGUGUCCGCAAACCAAAACGACCUUGGUGGCGGUUUAAACAUUCAAACGAUGAUGACUAAAGGACCAAACGACCUUGUUCGAACUUAAAAACGACCUUGGUAUAAGAAAAAAACGACCUUGGCUGGGUACAAAAACGAUGGUGGGUGAGUGGAGUUUAGACGAUGGUACCACUAAAAAACGACCUUGGUCGCUUGGUGAAACGAUGUUGGCAAAACCCAAAACAAUGAUAACAAACAAAACACUAAAAAACGAUGUAGGUAGAAGUACUGUAUCGGACAAAAAAGGUCAGUUAAAACGAUGUUGGUACGAAACUAAAACGACCUUUGCUUCUGUUAAAAACGAUGUUAGUAAAAAACUAAAAACGACCUUGGCUUCUAUUAAAAAACGAUGUUAAAAACAAUGUAGGUGGUCCGCCGCUACCGAAAGAAAAACGACGUUGGCAGAGCUUAAAAAACGAUGACGUCCUCAACGGUAAAACGAUGAUGGUCUCGGAACGAGCUUCGUAGUCCUCAAAAACGAUGGUGGGGGAAAAUAAAAACAAAGCUAAAAACGACCUUAGUCGGAUUUUUAACGAGGUUGGCAGCAAGCUAAAACGACCUUGGCCGUAAAAAACGAAGCGGCCACCGCCACUUCCGCCCACCGCAAAACGAAGCGGUCGCCGCCGAUCCGACGCUCGUGGCCGCCGCUCGUCUUCGUUGCUCCCAGGUUUCCUCCCGUCGCCCCCGAUCGCACGCCCUAGGGCGCUCGCCGCUGCCGCGAGCGAGGGGGCGGGGGGGGAAAAAGGGACACGCCUCCUACUGUUUUCCCCUACGCCCUGUCUAGACUGUCAGGACGCGCAGGUCUAGCUCGCCGAGCCCAACCUGGCCGGCUUUGAAAAUCAAUCCCACCACAUAUAAAUCGGACAAAAUUUAGCAACAGCCACUGUUUUUGUGCAUGCUUAAAAAGCGGGAUUAAACUAGGGCGAAAUUUUCUCUUAUGUGGGCACAUCUGGCCGGGAGUUUUGCCCGUAUCGUAAACGGGCACGUGCGGCACUGCUCGGCCGGUAGGUUGCGAACGGGGUUUUGGAGGCGGGCUGCAUCUUUGAUUACAAUUUGGUCUACCUACCUAUUUAUAGUACGUUUGUGUCCCUUUCACAUCCAGUCUACCUAAGAGGAACGAGAGAGCUUUAAACCACCUCAAACUCGCCCCCCUAAAUCUCUUUAGUUCGAAGAUCCCACAACCGUUAUCGUUGAAUUUUAAUUCCUAAUCCAGAUCUCUACCUUUUGAACGUUGACGACGCCACUCGUAGUCUGUGCCUGACGUGACUUAAUCGAGGGAGUUUAAGUCACCCGACUAGACUACUUCUGCCGUUUCCGUGGGUUGUCUCUCUCGCCAAAAGUCGGCUGGUUUAGUGGUCCUUAUAUUUGAUUACCCUCUAAACAUAUGUACGUCGCUUUUAAUCUUUAAGGUUGGACCUCCAAAAAGACGGUGACCGAUACGUCCUUCCUUUUGUCUCGUGUGACGAGGAGGAACUACCGCGGGCGGGAACAGCGACUGUCUCUAUGGCAGGUUCUUGAACGGAGUCCGUAACUUGACGACGACAUAUUUCUGACCAGUAACAAGUCUACGAUCUUAACGAACCCCCUCUUCCUAGACAUAUCUUGUAGACAUAGCGUUUAACAGCGGUUUUGACCCUGUGACCUUGUUCGUCGAUUCACGUCUUCGUCCGUACGUACCCAGCAACGACUUGUGUGUUCGUCUGUAUAUACAUAGCGUCACUUGUUUCUCACACUAGAGUGAUGGUUACUUGUGAGUUGUAGGACUUAGAAUACGUAACGCCGUUUAAGAUUCGUGUAGAUUACCACAUCAAAGCCGUUUCGCGAACCAGGAUAAAUUCUGUAAAUGUGUCUGUGGUGUCCCUUUUUUUUAGCCUUUUGAGCGGAUACGGCCAGGCAAUAUUCAAGAAAAAGAGUCCUAUAGUUUAUGUUGUGCGUAAGGUCUGUCACAGACGGAAACGAGGGAGACUUCUUAGUCGUUCGGCGUAUCAUUGCUCUACUAUACUUAGUUAACAACCUUGAACCUUCACUAGUACGUAAAGACUGCUUUUAUUGAUACGAUACCGGGUACACCAAUGGCCGGGCCUGGGCAGGUACUCCGGGAUUAGGUUCGGCCGGGUCCAGCAUCUAUUGGCAACGGCGGCAGAAGAGGGAAGGAAGCGGGGAGAGGAGAGGGUGGAGCUAGCGGCGGCAGCUCGCGGCGCGGAGGGUGAGGGUCGGAGCGGCGGCGCUGGCUGCUGCGCCGGGAGGAGCCGAGGGCGAAGCUUCGGCUGCCCGAGUUCGCGGAGGAGGGCGUCCAAGCCAAGGCUUUAAGGGGAGGAGAGGAGGGCAGAGUAUAUAUAGAGGACCUAGCCUAGGACCGUCUCGAGCCCGACUAAACACACGCCGCGUCCACCAGCUCCUGCACCGCCGCGUCAGUGCCCCCCACUUCUGCUAGAAAGAGGAGGACGUAUUCAGACUUAGAUCAACUUGAGACUUCUUAUAAUAAAUAAAACACGGCAACCUUGGACGUUCACUAACACCUAAACAAAAGACAUAACGACGUCCGAGAUUCUACGAUACCGAUCUGUACCUGACCAGCAGGACCUAUCGCACCUAAGUCAAGUACGUGGGUCCGACUUUGAUCACAACUCACAGUUUGUCGUGCAACGAAACCGUAAUGUAACUACUUAUAAGCCCCAAAGACUAUCCCAUACGAUGUAAGUCGAAACUAAUAUGGGUUUGGAGUUAGAUAAUGGUAAUGUAACCUACCAUAUAGUUAAACUAGGGGUAUAAUCACCAAACGUGAUUAACCACAGAUUGUUAGAUGACAAUAGUCACACGUUACAAAAGGACUGAAGUCACAGAUCGUGGAGGACGCCGACCCUACGGUGCCUGCGACGGCGCAGCGGUCGACGUGGCUCACACGGACCCCACGAUCCUCGCUCGAACCCCCGUCGGUACGGCGACCGCCAACGUACCUCGUUGAACCUCCUACCCCGGCCUACCCCCGCUUCGGCCAGGAAACCAUAUCCCUCGUGCGAGAAUGGG